rnacentral:piRNA from 1 species
UACAGUGAAGAGGAAAAGGGGAUGGCGUU